rnacentral:rRNA from 1 species
AGAGUUUGAUCAUGGCUCAGGAUGAACGCUAGCGACAGGCCUAACACAUGCAAGUCGAGGGGCAGCGGAGAGGUAGCAAUACCUUUGCCGGCGACCGGCGCACGGGUGAGUAACACGUAUGCAAUCCACCUGUAACAGUGGGACUAACCCGGAAGAAACUCCGGACUAACUACCCAUAAUAGUGGGCGCCUCCCGCAGUGGAGACGCCC